UCCUCGUUACUAUAGUGGUGAGUAUCCCCGCCUGUCACGCGGGAGACCGGGGUUCGAUUCCCCGACGGGGAG
rnacentral:tRNA from 1 species